rnacentral:rRNA from 1 species
GAUGAACGCUAGCUACAGGCUUAACACAUGCAAGUCGAGGGGCAUCAGGGAUUAGCAAUAAUCUGCUGGCGACCGGCGCACGGGUGAGUAACACGUAUCCAACCUUCCGUUAACUCGGGGAUAGCCUUUCGAAAGAAAGAUUAAUACCCGAUAACAUAAGCUAACCUCCUGGUUUACUUAUUAAAGAAUUUCGGUUAUCGAUGGGGAUGCGUUCCAUUAGGCAGUUGGCGGGGUAACGGCCCACCAAACCUUCGAUGGAUAGGGGUUCUGAGAGGAAGGUCCCCCACACUGGAACUGAGACACGGUCCAGACUCCUACGGGAGGCAGCAGUGAGGAAUAUUGGUCAAUGGACGGAAGUCUGAACCAGCCAAGUAGCGUGAAGGAUGACUGCCCUAUGGGUUGUAAACUUCUUUUAUAUGGGAAUAAAACGCUCCACGUGUGGAGCUUUGUAUGUACCAUUAUGAAUAAGCAUCGGCUAACUCCGUG